UACCCAGUUUCGGGGUCGCCUGGU
rnacentral:miRNA from 1 species